CCUACGGGCGGCAGCAGUGGGGAAUAUUGGGCAAUGGGCGCAAGCCUGACCCAGCAACGCCGCGUGAAGGAAGAAGGCUUUCGGGUUGUAAAAUUCUUUUCUCAGGGACGAAGCAAGCGACGGUACCUGAGGAAUAAGCCACGGCUAACUACGUGCCAGCAGCCGCGGUAAUACGUAGGUGGCAAGCGUUAUCCGGAUUUACUGGGUGUAAAGGGCGUGUAGGCGGGACAGCAAGUCAGAUGUGAAAACCAUGGGCUCAACCUGUGUACUGCAUUUGAAACUGUGUUUCUUGAGUGCUGGAGAGGCAGACGGAAUUCCUAGUGUAGCGGUGAAAUGCGUAGAUAUUAGGAGGAACACCAGUGGCGAAGGCGGUCUGCUGGACAGCAACUGACGCUGAGGCGCGAAAGCGUGGGGAGCAAACAGGAUUAGAUACCCUUGUAGUC
rnacentral:rRNA from 1 species